UACGAAGGGGGCUAGCGUUGCUCGGAAUUACUGGGCGUAAAGGGCGCGUAGGCGGCCUGCUAAGUCGGAUGUGAAAUCCCUCGGCUCAACCGAGGAACUGCAUCCGAUACUGGCAGGCUGGAAUCCGGGAGAGGGAUGUGGAAUUCCAGGUGUAGCGGUGAAAUGCGUAGAUAUCUGGAGGAACACCGGUGGCGAAGGCGGCAUCCUGGACCGGUAUUGACGCUGAGGCGCGGAAAGC
rnacentral:rRNA from 1 species